rnacentral:rRNA from 1 species
AUUGAACGCUGGCGGAAUGCUUUACACAUGCAAGUCGAACGGCAGCACGGACUUCGGUCUGGUGGCGAGUGGCGAACGGGUGAGUAAUACAUCGGAACGUGCCCAGUCGUGGGGGAUAACGUAGCGAAAGCUACGCUAAUACCGCAUACGAUCUAAGGAUGAAAGCGGGGGAUCGCAAGACCUCGCGCGAUUGGAGCGGCCGAUGGCAGAUUAGGUAGUUGGUAGGGUAAAGGCCUACCAAGCCGACGAUCUGUAGCUGGUCUGAGAGGAUGAUCACCCACCCUGGGACUGAGAGACGGCCCAGACACCUACGGGAGGCAGCAGUGGGGAAUUUUGGACAAUGGGCGCAAGCCUGAUCCAGCCAUUCCGCGUGCAGGAUGAAGGCCUUCGGGUUGUAACCUGCUUUUGUACAGAACGAAAAGGCUCUGGUUAAUACCCGGGGCUCAUGACGGUACUGUAAGAAUAAGCACCGGCUAACUACGUGCCAGCCGCCGCCGUAA